rnacentral:rRNA from 1 species
GCGGCCUAUCAGCUUGUUGGUGAGGUAAUGGCUCACCAAGGCGACGACGGGUAGCCGGCCUGAGAGGGCGACCGGCCACACUGGGACUGAGACACGGCCCAGACUCCUACGGGAGGCAGCAGUGGGGAAUAUUGGGCAAUGGAGGGAACUCUGACCCAGCGACGCCGCGUGCGGGAUGAAGGCCUUCGGGUUGUAAACCGCUUUCAGCAAGGAAGAAGCGAAAGUGACGGUACUUGCAGAAGAAGCACCGGCUAACUAUGUGCCAGCAGCCGCGGUAAUACAUAGGGUGCAAGCGUUGUCCGGAAUUAUUGGGCGUAAAGAGCUCGUAGGUCGUUUGUUACGUCGGAUGUGAAAACCUGAGGCUCAACCUCAGGCCUGCAUUCGAUACGGGCAAACUAGAGUUUGGUAGGGGAGACUGGAAUUCCU